UAUCUAUCUCAAACAAAGAUUCAAUACACAUCUCAGUGAUCAAUAAAUUUCCAAAUAAUAAUUAAACAUUGAAUUCUUUUUUAAACCAAUUAAUCUAAUUUGUGUUUAUUAUCUUAUUUAAAUAUAAAUAAGUUAAUUAUUUGUUUUUAUAUAAUCAUUUUUAUAUUUUUGGUGUAAAAAUUUAAAAAAAGGCGGUAAAAAAAUAAAUAUGGUUGGCAAACAAAGAAAGAAGUGAGUGUACAUUGCCAGGACCAAUAGAAUAGUGUAAACAGAGGAUUGAUGAUUUCUCAUUGGUGAAAAAGUUACAAAGACAGAACGCAUGAACAAAUAAUCGUUGAUGUACAUGAGCAUUUGAGUUGGAUACAAGAAGAUCUAAGGGAAUAGACGUUUUCCGAGGGCUACGACUCUUCUCCCACCAACAUAAAAUACAGUCACUGAGUGGUCCUGAAGCUCGGCCAUUUGCCUCACGAGUGGCGAAUUGGCAAUUCGUGAGUGACACAAAGUGACACUGAAAACAACAGCUAUACAAGAAUUAUUUUUUUUCUAAUUAAUUGGGCGGGUAUUCCCGAAACGUUUUAUCAAAAUAACGCGACGAAAAAGGAUGAUACAUUCGGGGCGUACGAGACUCGAGUUAACAUGGGUAUUUCAUGACGACGAGGCACAAAUAAACAAGAAACUGCCAAAGGAAUUAUUACUCAGGAUCCUAUCAUAUCUUGACGUUGUAUCAUUGUGUCGUUGUGCUCAAGUCAGCAAAGCGUGGAACGUUUUGGCUUUAGAUGGAUCUAAUUGGCAGAGAAUAGAUUUAUUUGACUUUCAACGAGACGUCGAGGGACCAGUGAUAGAAAAUAUUUCACGAAGAUGUGGUGGCUUUCUCCGUCAAUUAUCUCUUCGUGGAUGCCAAAGUAUUGGAAACAAUUCCAUGAAAACUCUUGCCCAAUCGUGUCCAAAUAUCGAGGAAUUAAAUUUAAGUCAAUGUAAAAAAAUAUCCGACGUUACUUGCGCAGCAUUAAGCAGUCAUUGUUCAAAACUCCAACGCCUCAAUUUGGAUUCUUGUCCUGAAAUAACUGAUCUCGCUCUCAAGGAUUUAUCAGAUGGUUGUCGACUUUUGACACACAUUAAUUUGUCAUGGUGUGAGUUACUUACUGAUAAUGGAGUAGAAGCAUUGGCACGAGGAUGUCCGGAACUCAGAAGUUUUUUGAGUAAAGGAUGUCGACAACUUACAGACAGGGCAAUCAAGUGCCUAGCUCGUUACUGCCCAAAUCUCGAAGCAAUUAAUCUCCAUGAGUGCCGAAAUAUUACAGAUGAUGGAGUACGAGAGCUUAGCGAAAGAUGCCCGCGGUUACAUUAUGUUUGUAUAUCGAAUUGUUCCAAUUUAACAGAUGCAACACUUGUGACAUUGGCACAGCAUUGUCCUUUGCUCAGCAUUCUCGAAUGUGUCGCCUGUACCCAUUUUACUGACGCUGGCUUCCAAGCUCUUGCUAGAAAUUGUAGACUGUUAGAGAAAAUGGAUUUAGAAGAAUGUACUCUUAUCACUGAUGCUACACUCAUUCAUUUAGCAAUGGGUUGUCCCCGACUGGAAAAAUUAAGUUUAUCUCAUUGUGAAUUGAUAACUGAUGAAGGAAUCAGACAGCUCGCACUGUCGCCAUGUGCUGCCGAAAAUUUAGCUGUAUUGGAGCUUGAUAAUUGUCCACUUAUCACAGACGCUAGUCUAGACCAUCUUUUACAGGCGUGCCAUAAUCUUGAACGGAUUGAGCUUUAUGACUGCCAAUUAAUUACACGAUCCGGAAUACGUAGACUCAGGACUCAUUUACCAAAUAUAAAAAUACAUGCGUACUUUGCUCCAAUGACGCCUCCACCAAGCGCUGGCGUAUCUCGACAACGUUAUUGUCGUUGCUGCGUUAUCCUGUGAUUUAACUUUUGAUGAACUUUCGAGUGAUUCUAAAACUAUUGAUUUGCCAUCGAUUUAUUGGCUGGCCGAAGAGUUCAAGAAUGAACACAGAUAUGUAAGAACGUUUAAAGAUGGUGAAUAAAAAAUGUAUUUAGUUGCUUCAAAUGAUAAAACGAAAAGAAUAUCAUAGUCACAUGACGUUGAAUUGUGGUUUUUCAACUAAACCAAAACAAUUUGAAAUGUUGGAAUAAUUUUUCAAUAUGUAUGAUGUAAUGAAGAAAGUCAAUGGAACAAAAAAAAAACAAUUUUAAUCUCUUGACAGUGUUCAAGGAAGUAACGCCUAAAUUAAAAUAGAUAUAAUGGAACAAGAUAAGAAAAAUCAUUGAAUUGAAAUGGAGGCCAAUAGUUACAAAAAAAAAAAAAAAAUAAUAAAGAU
rnacentral:misc_RNA from 1 species